AUUGAACGCUGGCGGCAUGCCUUACACAUGCAAGUCGAACGGCAGCACGGGAGCAAUCCUGGUGGCGAGUGGCGAACGGGUGAGUAAUAUAUCGGAACGUGCCCAGUCGUGGGGGAUAACGUAGCGAAAGCUACGCUAAUACCGCAUACGAUCUAUGGAUGAAAGCGGGGGAUCGCAAGACCUCGCGCGAUUGGAGCGGCCGAUAUCAGAUUAGGUAGUUGGUGAGGUAAAGGCUCACCAAGCCGACGAUCUGUAGCUGGUCUGAGAGGACGACCAGCCACACUGGGACUGAGACACGGCCCAGACUCCUACGGGAGGCAGCAGUGGGGAAUUUUGGACAAUGGGCGCAAGCCUGAUCCAGCAAUGCCGCGUGCAGGAUGAAGGCCUCGGUUGUAACGUG
rnacentral:rRNA from 1 species